UACGUAGGGUGCGAGCGUUAAUCGGAAUUACUGGGCGUAAAGUGUGCGCAGGCGGCAAAGCAAGUCGAGUGUGAAAGCCCCGGGCUUAACUUGGGAAUUGCAUUUGAGACUGCGUAGCUAGGGUGCGGAAGAGGGAAGCGGAAUUUCCGGUGUAGCGGUGAAAUGCGUAGAUAUCGGAAGGAACACCAGUGGCGAAAGCGGCUUCCUGGUCCAGCACCGACGUUCAGGCACGAAAGCGUGGGGAGCAAACAGG
rnacentral:rRNA from 1 species